UGAAAAUAUGACAGAUGAGGAGUUGCGUGCUAUGAUUGAUGAAUUUGACAGGGAUGGGGAUGGUGAAAUCAAUGAAGAUGAGUUUAUUGCCAUCAUGACAGGAGAUACAUGAAUGAUUCAACCUCAAAGUGACACCAGUGUAGUUUUGUUUUCCUUUUACCGUCCACUUUUUCCUCAGUUCGUUUUGGGAGAGUGCUAGCAACUAGACAAAAACUUUAGUUAUAUAACUUCUUAUACCUGAAAGAAUAUUACAUCUGAGUGAAAGAUGAGAAUGUGUAAAGUAAGGUGUAAAACCAGUUUGAAGAGGACCAAAUCAUUGCUGAUCUCUAUUAAAGCUGUUGUCAUGAAAGUUUGAUUGAUUGUAUAAGCUUGUAUGUGAAUGUUGUCAGUGUGUUGUCUUGUUUUGUGUGAUGUUUUCUGUGAUGAUGCUGUUUUGUUUAGAAAGAAAUGUGAUCAUUAUUUGUUAGUUUGAUAAAUAUGUACUGUACUGAAAAAGUUCAGUAUUCAGUAGGUACUGCCUAAUUAUGUCUACUUAAUAUUCAAAUUCACUGUUUACUGUUAGUACUUUUCAGAGAAGUACAUACUGUACUUAAUGUAAUUUUGCCUAGAUGAAUGAAUGCUUCAUAAUUUUCUUUUAAUCUAGAAGAAAUAAAUGCAUGUUCAAAUUCAGAAAAGAGAUCAAUGAUUGAAUAUUUUUAUACUGCCAUACUUUAUUAUAUAUAUACACAAUAAAGAAUACAUGAAUAC
rnacentral:misc_RNA from 1 species